rnacentral:tRNA from 1 species
CCUGGUAUCUCAGAUGGUAAAGAGCCUGCCUGCAAUGCUGGAGACCUGGGUUCAAUCCCUGAGUCAGGA